GAGCCACAGAGGGCGAACUGCAUAAACCCCAUUGUUUUCUCCCGCAGGCCUGACUGGGGACACUGGGUUUGAGGCACUGAUAUGGAGGGUUGGUUGGUGCAAGUGGACCGGGGCUCUGGCGUCCCUCCCCACUCCGUGGAGCGGGGGGCGGUGGGCCGCGACAGCCCCGGACUCAAGGAGCGGGCAGAUCUGGAACGCGUGGGGCCUUGCCCCGGACACUGGGACACUCUGGGGGCCGGGAGGGGGAUGGGGCGCGGGACCAGGCCACCACAUCCCACGGAGGUUCCCAUGACGUCAGACCCAUCAGCAGACGACUCACAACGACCUAGCAGCGAGCAGGGGCAGGGUGCAGCACGAUCAUUUAUGUAUAUAGUUCUCUUGGGGCCCCAUAACCUGCCCCUUCUCCCCAGUUAUACCAGCACCUGUACACUUCCCCCCGGACCCCGUGACGAGGGCCUGGGAACCCUAAACGUUGUUCCCUACGUUUACCCCUAUUGGGGUUUGUAACUAACCGAGCUGCCCAAGUAUAGCUAGUCACUGCCCACCUCUGGCGCCCGAUAGAACGACCACUUCUGCCCCCACAACCUGACUCUUGCCGCUGGUCCCCGGCCAACCAGGCUCGAGAGACCCCCGGAGACUCAGCCCAUCCUUGCUGGC